UAUCAGUUCAUCAAAUGGAGAACUGCAAACCAAGCUGCCAGAAUGUUUCGACUUAUUUUCAGUAUAUUCUUUAUUUUGAGCAACCUGCAGUGAAAGCUUCCCUAUCACUGACCAAUUAUUGUUAUGCCAGACCUGCCGAAUCCUUAGAUUGGAUUCAUGAAAUUCUUUGAGUUUGAUGGAUCCAAACAAUUUAAUUACAAAAAGGUUGUUCUUCAAAGACUUUGCAACUUUCCCAACCCUCCAACAUUGAGUAUCAAACACAUCAGCCACAUCACCAACCAUCCAUCUUUUUCCCCUUUUAAGAGGAGGCUGAGGCCUAACAUCCUCUUUAUGCACCUUCUCCAUCACAGGCUCUCC
rnacentral:misc_RNA from 1 species